rnacentral:rRNA from 1 species
AGAGUUUGAUCAUGGCUCUGAUUGAACGCUGGCGGCAGGCCUAACACAUGCAAGUCGAGCGGUAGAGAGGUGCUUGCACCUCUUGAGAGCGGCGGACGGGUGAGUAAAGCCUAGGAAUCUGCCUGGUAGUGGGGGAUAACGCUCGGAAACGGACGCUAAUACCGCAUACGUCCUACGGGAGAAAGCAGGGGACCUUCGGGCCUUGCGCUAUCAGAUGAGCCUAGGUCGGAUUAGCUAGUUGGUGAGGUAAUGGCUCACCAAGGCGACGAUCCGUAACUGGUCUGAGAGGAUGAUCAGUCACACUGGAACUGAGACACGGUCCAGACUCCUACGGGAGGCAGCAGUGGGGGAUAUUGGACAAUGGGCGAAAGCCUGAUCCAGCCAUGCCGCGUGUGUGAAGAAGGUCUUCGGAUUGUAAAGCACUUUAAGUUGGGAGGAAGGGCAUUAACCUAAUACGUUAGUGUUUUGACGUUACCGACAGAAUAAGCACCGGCUAACUCUGUGCCAGCAGCCGCGGUAAUACAGAGGGUGCAAGCGUUAAUCGGAAUUACUGGGCGUAAAGCGCGCGUAGGUGGUUCG